rnacentral:rRNA from 1 species
AACGAACGCUGGCGGCGCGCCUAAUACAUGCAAGUCGAACGAGAAGCUGUAGCAAUACAGUUGUACAGUGGCGAACGGGUGAGGAAUACAUGGGUGACCUACCCUCGAGUGGGGAAUAACCAGCCGAAAGGUUGGCUAAUACCGCGUACGCUUCCCAGUCUACGGGUUGGGAAGGAAAGCGAUGCCGUGGGUAUCGCGCUCAAGGUUGGGCUCAUGUCCUAUCAGCNGUUGGUGGGGUAACGCUCACCAAGGCAACGACGGGUAGCUGGUCUGAGAGGACGAUCAGCCACACUGGCACUGCGACA